rnacentral:lncRNA from 1 species
UGGGUCUGGGAAUGGGACUGGAAUUCUGGGCCUGCUGAGGAUUUUAAUGGCUCCAAAGCCACCAGCAGCCUUGUGAAAGGCAAGAGAUGGGAAGUAGUAGAAGCUUCCAAUUUGGUCCUUCACUUGAAGUGUGUAGGUGAAGUUCUUGCCUGGUGGGAUGGGGCAUGUGGUGCCGUAAACUCCAUCUUGGUAUGAAUUCCUCCUAUGUUGAACUCCAUUCCUGUUUUUGUUUUUCCAAAUUCCGUUUUAGUUUCACAUCAAAAUUAAAGUAAGUGAUUCCGUUUUAGUUUCACAUCAAAAUUAAAGUAAGUGAUUGCAUGCAACACGUAUACUCUUAGACGGUAUUUCAAACCGAUCACAUACUAACCACCGUCACAAUGUUAUCAUGGGCCAGGCAAGAGUUAGGAAAUAAUUAAAACUCAAUAAAAAAAUUCCAUGUGUGUUUGGUUGGUCUUUCGAUCAAACCAAAAUAAAUGCGUGUGGCUAUAUAUGUCAAUUUUGCCAGCAUAUAAUUCGAUCAUAGUAUAUGCAUGGCAAGUUGUCACUUGUUAUUGUCAACCACGUGGAAGAUUUAUUACGUCACCGCGGCCAUAUUAAUAACAUGUACAAAAGUCUAUGACCUCUUAGCUGUCUGAAUUUUUUGAUUAUUAUUCUCUAAAUUAUAUUACCAUAUUUUGUCACACUGAAUUAAAAUCUACAGAUUAGAUUGACAAUGAAAACUAAAUUACCUCAUUUAUUUUACCUAAGUUUCGUUUUAUAUCAUGCAAUAUUACUAUUUAUGAAAUAAAUCCGUGCAAUUAAUAUUUUUUAGUUCCAUGCCUUGUAAAGAUUGAUACAUUUACCAAAUAUUUAAAAUCUAUUAAAUUGUGCUAAUUUAACAAAUAUGAAGAUUUAAUUAGCAUUUAAGUGUUUGGAAAACAUAUAGAAAAAGAGAAAGGAAAUAGUUUGGAAGAAAAUCGCACCAUGAAAUAAGGAAAGGCUCCGGCAAGCUGUUAUGAACAUUGAUAAUGAGGUUGUCAUUGGUCACGGAGUAGAUUUC